rnacentral:rRNA from 1 species
GACGAACGCUGGCGGCGUGCCUAAUACAUGCAAGUAGAACGCAGUUGCGAACGGGUGAGUAACGCGUAGGUAACUGCCUGGUAGCGGGGGAUAACUAUUGGAAACGCUAGCUAAUACCGCAUACUACCAGAUGGACCUGCGUUGUAUUAGCUAGUUGGUGAGGUAACUGCUCACCAAGGCAACGAUACAUAGUCGACCUGGGAAGGUGAUCGGCCAAACUGGGAAGUGGACACGGGCCAGACCCCUACGGGAGGCCGCAGGAGGGAAUCUUCGGAAAUGGGGGGAACGCUGACCGAGCAACGGCGCGUGAGUGAAGAAGGUUUUCGGAUCGUAAAGCUCUGUUGUUAAGGAAGCGGUACUUAACCAGAAAGGGACGGCUAACUACGUGCCAGCAGCCGCGGUAAUUC